AACGAACGCUGGCGGCAUGCCUAACACAUGCAAGUCGAACGAGACCUUCGGGUCUAGUGGCGCCCGGGUGCGUAACGCGUGGGAACCUGCCCUUAGGUUCGGAAUAACUCCCCGACAGGGGUGCUAAUACCGGAUAAUGUCUUCGGACCAAAGAUUUAUCGCCUUUGGAUGGGCCCGCGUUGGAUUAGCUAGUUGGUAGGGUAAAAGCCUACCAAGGCGACGAUCCAUAGCUGGUCUGAGAGGAUGAUCAGCCACACUGGGACUGAGACACGGCCCAGACUCCUACGGGAGGCAGCAGUGGGGAAUAUUGGACAAUGGGCGAAAGCAUGAUCCAGCAAUGCCGCGUGAGUGAUGAAGGCCUUAGGGUUGUAAAGCUCUUUUACCCGGGAUGAUAAUGACAGUACCGGGAGAAUAAGCUCCGGCUAACUCCGUG
rnacentral:rRNA from 1 species